AGAACGAACGCUGGCGGCGUGGAUAAGACAUGCAAGUCGAACGCGAUUUAUCUGGUUAGCAAUAACUAGGUAAAUUGAGUGGCGAAAGGGUGCGUAACACGUGGGAAUUUACCAAGAAGUGGGGAAUAGCUCGACGAAAGUCGAAUUAAUACCGCAUAUGAUCGCAAGAUCAAAGCCGGGGACCGCAAGGCCUGGCGCUUUUUGAGAAGCCCGCGGCCCAUCAGCUAGUUGGCGGGGUAACGGCCCACCAAGGCUAUGACGGGUAGCUGGUCUGAGAGGACGACCAGCCACACUGGAACUGAGACACGGUCCAGACACCUACGGGUGGCAGCAGUCGAGAAUUUUUUCACAAUGGACGAAAGUCUGAUGGAGCGACGCGCGUGAGGAUGAGGUUUCGGAUUGUAACUCCUGUCACUGCAGAACAAGGAUACGUCAGUUAACAGCCGACGUAUUU
rnacentral:rRNA from 1 species